rnacentral:rRNA from 1 species
UUCGGCCUUAGUGGCGCACGGGUGCGUAACGCGUGGGAAUCUGCCCUUUGCUUCGGAAUAACAGUGGGAAACUACUGCUAAUACCGGAUGAUGUCUUCGGACCAAAGAUUUAUCGGCAAGGGAUGAGCCCGCGUAGGAUUAGGUAGUUGGUGGGGUAAAGGCCUACCAAGCCGACGAUCCUUAGCUGGUCUGAGAGGAUGAUCAGCCACACUGGGACUGAGACACGGCCCAGACUCCUACGGGAGGCAGCAGUGGGGAAUAUUGGACAAUGGGGGGAACCCUAAUCCAGCAAUGCCGCGUGAGUGAUGAAGGCCUUAGGGUUGUAAAGCUCUUUUACCAGGGAUGAUAAUGACAGUACCUGGAGAAUAAGCUCCGGCUAACUCCGUGCCGGCAGCCGCGGUAAUACGGAGGGAGCUAGCGUUGUUCGGAAUUACUGGGCGUAAAGCGCACGUAGGCGGUUACUCAAGUCAGAGGUGAAAGCCCGGGGCUCAACCCCGGAACUGCCUUUGAAACUAGGUAACUAGAAUCCUGGAGAGGUGAGUGGAAUUCCGAGUGUAGAGGUGAAAUUCGUAGAUAUUCGGAAGAACACCAGUGGCGAAGGCGGCUCACUG